AGUUGGGCUUUCAACAAGAGAAUAAUUAUUGAUACUUUUGAACAGUAGAAAAUACUCCUGAGAACAGCAUGGAUAGCUAAGAAAACAAAUCAAGGAGUAUCAAAUAUAUCAACCCGUAAGGCACAAAUGGGGUUAUUCUUUGGAGUCAUUAUUCAAAGACUUACCUCUCUCGGGAAAUUCAUAAUAUUGGGAAAGGUGGCAAGAAAGAGAGGACAACCGGGAGGAUGGAUGGACUCAGUUACAAGUAGCAAUGGGUGCACCAUUUGAAGCCCUGAAGGACCAGGCUGUUGACAUGAUCCUUUUGGAGAAUAUCUAUAUGGUUACUAAGAAUCAGCAUCAACUUGAUGGCACUUUAAGUAAAUCAAAUCAAUGGGAAUGUUGAAGAUGAAACUGAAAUAAAUGAUUUCAGUACUAAUCUUUCUUGUACCAAUAAUGAAAAAGAACUCAUAAAUAUUAAAAAUUGUGAUGCUGUAAUUGAAGAUAAUGGAAUAGUUGUGAAGUUUAUUUAAUGUAUGUGUAAAAACUUUAUCCUAUACCGUGAUUUGAAAAAAGUGUUUUUUU